rnacentral:lncRNA from 1 species
GAUUUAAGGAAUAAAGUAGACUAGAAGUCUUAUUUCAAUUUGCCAUGCCCGAAAACAAGUUACAUGCUCAUAGACAAAUCCAAAUCAAAGGCAAAUAAGCAAAUAAGGAUCUUGCAACAGCAAGUUGGUAACAACUGAUAACGUGAAGUACUUACCAAAAGCAUUAGGAUAUGCCAAAUCAAGAGCAUUUAACUGUUAUCUAAUUAUUCAACAACUAUUUUUCCUACAAUGACUAUCUUGUUUUUGUUAGGAACCAAUACGAGAGUCCAGACAAUUAGUUGCUUAUCUUCAUGGCCAAAACUUAAAACAACAAUAACAACUAUCCAAUAUAGUCUCAUAAAGUGGGGUUUGGGGAGGGUAAUAUGUAGACGAGCCUUACUCCUACCCGAAAGGACAGAGAGGCUAUUUCCAAUCGACCACCGGCUCAGUGAAGGAAAGGAAAGACAAAAACAAGAAAGCAUUAGUAAUUCCAACAGAAAUAGCGUAAAUAAUUAUCUAAACAUAAGAAACAUAAAUAAAAUAGCAUGUAAUAAUAUAAUACAGUAACUACCAUAAAUAACUACCAUAAGGGAGACACAAGCCAAAAUACAAAUCAUCUAUGGAUAGCCCUACCAAGCCUCACCCAACCCCGAGUGAGGAGUACGAAAAACUGUAGGAGCCCCUAUCCUACAACCCUAUACUAAAUAUCCAGGCUUUCCUAUCAAGGUCAUAGCCAAAACUUAGUAGCAGGAAAAUAUCCGCAGAAGCACAAGAGAAAGAGAUUAAGUUAGCAACUAAUUGCAGGAGAACCUCAAGGUCAACAAAACAAGAAAUUAGCUCAAAUAGUGAAUAUCUCUGUUUUGAUUUUGACGCCUUCGAGUAGUCCAUCAUCGUUCAUCAAAUUUCCACCUCAUAUAAGCUACAUAUCACUACUUUGACUGUGGAUAAAUUGAAGUAAUCAAUAUCUCUUAUAAGACCCAUUUCAUCCUUGAGUAGGCAUAUAUAAUUGAUAUAUCAAAUUUGAAACAACUAAGCAUCACAUUAGAUGUAUAUAACAGAGACAUAACAACAAUCACAAAAAACACCAUUUAUCUCAUGAAUCUAGAUAUUCCAAUGAAAGAAAUGAGUUAUGAUAUUUGUGUACCUAAUUCUGUAAAGCCGAAACAGGGCCGCAACAAACCAAAUAAAGGCCGAAAAUAAACACGAACUAGAAAUCGAUCACUGAAGCGGAAAUUAGCAGCAGAACCAGCAGCGAACAACAGCAACAUCCACCAAAUUCGAGAUUCAACAGCCUAUAUAGAUCCAGGGAAGAGGAAUUCGAACUUUGAAACUUCAGUAAUCGGUUCUCCUUCAAAUUCUCUUCGAAGUUCAAUUUUUCCCCUUUUUAAGACUUUGUGAUUUUUUAAAUCUGGUUUCGGAUUCUUUCGUGUGAGUCUGGCUAUGAUGCGAGGAGCGCGUGUGCGUAUUUGUGAGUGAAGGAGAUGGGUGGGGCCUGUUCUUGCAGCGCAGCCUUCAGUUCCUCUCAAAGUUGCGUUCUCUUCUUUUUUUAUUCCCCUGUAUAGAGUUGAGUCUAGAGUUUUAGGAUGGGGUAAUGAGCUUGAAAAGAUUUGAGUAUUAAAAAUUAAGGAAUUUUUAUAUAUAUAUAUAUAUCAU